CAUAUAUAUCUGAUGGACGCGGGGGGAAUUACAUUCUCCUACACGUCUUGACCCUUUGUGAAUGUGUAAUUGCAUUGAGAGUGUGUGUAUAUGCACACACUCGAGACCUUUAUUCUUUUGUUACAAACUUUGAACAAUUUCAAAUUGACCACAAUCAAUUUUGAA
rnacentral:misc_RNA from 1 species